rnacentral:rRNA from 1 species
CGCCGCCGCCGCCGCCCCUCUUCACGCUCGACGACCGCUUCGCCGCCGCCGACUUCUCGCCCGACCCCACCGCCUCCGACCUCCUCCCCGUCGCCUCCUCCCCCUCCCCCCGCGCAGGUGCCGGCAGCCGCUCGCCCUCAUGGGACCGCUCCCGCGGCAAGGCCUCCGCCCCCGGAUCCCCCAUGGACGGGGUCGUCGAGCCGCCCCGCAAGGAGCUGCUCGCGCUGCCCCCGCCGUCCAGUCCCUGCACUCCUCCUCCACCGACGGCGACGGCCGAGGCGCCGUCCCCCGUGACCCCGGCGACGGAGGCUGCCAGGACGGAGCCCGCGGCCCCGGCGAGCGAAGGGAAGGCAGAUGGCGAGGAGUGGGUCACUGUAUUCGGAUUCUCGCUUAGAGAUACCAACCUCGUUCUCCGAGAGUUCGAGAAAUGUGGUGUUAUAUUGAGACAUCACUCUGGCCCAAGAGAGGGUAAUUGGAUCCACAUAUUAUACCAGGUAACGAUAUCUUCAGUUUCAGUGAAAGUGUCACUAUUUCUUAGCUACACCACCGUUCACAUCAAGCACUCUUACGAUGCAAGGAAAGCCCUUCAAAAGAAUGGUAUCCAGCUAUGCAGUGGCGUCAUAAUUGGAGUAAAGCAUAUUGAUCCAAUGCAUCGGCAGCAGCUGGAUGAUAGGCUCGCUGGAAUCAAGCAAGGAGGCUUCAUGGUCUCCCUGCCUUCGAAAUCACUUGUCCUGAAGAGCAGCACAGGUGCAUCAAACCAGUUGGGAGCCUUGCCGCGCCCAUAUGACCCAAAGUCCUCCACAAACGUUAUCAGAGACGCAGGGCGUCGUACAACAGGCAGCGUUGCUGCUCCAGCGAAAUCUAUUGUAACGAAUGUGAUGGACUUGAUAUUCGGCAUCUAG